rnacentral:rRNA from 1 species
CUAUGCGCCUUGCCAGCCCGCUCAGGUGUGCCAGCCGCCGCGGUAAUACAGAGGUCUCAAGCGUUGUUCGGAAUCACUGGGCGUAAAGCGUGCGUAGGCGGUUUCGUAAGUCGUGUGUGAAAGGCGGGGGCUCAACCCCCGGACUGCACAUGAUACUGCGAGACUAGAGUAAUGGAGGGGAACCGGAAUUCUCGGUGUAGCAGUGAAAUGCGUAGAUAUCGAGAGGAACACUCGUGGCGAAGGCGGGUUCCUGGACAUUAACUGACGCUGAGCACGAAGGCCAGGGAGCGAAAGGG